rnacentral:rRNA from 1 species
AUUGAUUUUAUGCUUGCAUAAAUGAUUUUUGGAUUCGGAGCGAGUGGCGAACUGGUGAGUAACACGUGGGUAACCUGCCCCGAAGCGGGGGAUAACAUUUGGAAACAAGUGCUAAUACCGCAUAAUUAGUUGGAACCGCAUGGUUCCAACUUGAAAGAUGGCUCUGCUAUCACUUUGGGAUGGACCCGCGCCGUAUUAGUUAGUUGGUGAGAUAAAAGCCCACCAAGACGAUGAUACGUAGCCGACCUGAGAGGGUAAUCGGCCACAUUGGGACUGAGACACGGCCCAGACUCCUACGGGAGGCAGCAGUAGGGAAUCUUCCACAAUGGACGAAAGUCUGAUGGAGCAACGCCGCGUGAGUGAUGAAGGUUUUCGGAUCGUAAAACUCUGUUGUUAAAGAAGAACAAGUGUUAGAGUAACUGUUAACACUUUGACGGUAUUUAACCAGAAAGCCACGGCUAACUACGUGCCAGCAGCCGCGGUAAUACGUAGGUGGCAAGCGUUGUCCGGAUUUAUUGGGCGUAAAGCGAGCGCAGGCGGUUUUGUAAGUCUGCUGUGAAAGCCCUCAGCUCAACUGAGGAAGUGCAGUGGAAACUACAAAACUUGAGUACAGAAGAGGAAAGUGGAACUCCAUGUGUAGCGGUGAAAUGCGUAGAUAUAUGGAAGAACACCAGUGGCGAAGGCGGCUUUCUGGUCUGUUACUGACGCUGAGGCUCGAAAGCAUGGGUAGCGAACAGGAUUAGAUACCCUGGUAGUCCAUGCCGUAAACGAUGAAUACUAGGUGUUGGAGGGUUUCCGCCCUUCAGUGCCGCAGCUAACGCAUUAAGUAUUCCGCCUGGGGAGUACGACCGCAAGGUUGAAACUCAAAGGAAUUGACGGGGGCCCGCACAAGUGGUGGAGCAUGUGGUUUAAUUCGAUGCUACGCGAAGAACCUUACCAGCUCUUGACAUCUUCCGUCAACCCAAGAGAUUGGGCGUUCCCUUCGGGGACAGAAUGACAGGUGGUGCAUGGUUGUCGUCAGCUCGUGUCGUGAGAUGUUGGGUUAAGUUCUGCAACGAGCGCAACCCUUAUUAUUAGUUGCCAGCAUUUAGUUGGGCACUCUAGUGAGACUGCCGGUGAUAAA